GCCCUUAGAGUUUGAUCCUGGCUCAGGAUGAACGCUAGCUACAGGCUUAACACAUGCAAGUCGAGGGGCAGCAUUUUAGUUUGCUUGCAAACUAAAGAUGGCGACCGGCGCACGGGUGAGUAACACGUAUCCAACCUGCCGAUAACUCGGGGAUAGCCUUUCGAAAGAAAGAUUAAUAUCCGAUAGUAUAUUAAAACCGCAUGGUUUUACUAUUAAAGAAUUUCGGUUAUCGAUGGGGAUGCGUUCCAUUAGUUUGUUGGCGGGGUAACGGCCCACCAAGACUACGAUGGAUAGGGGUUCUGAGAGGAAGGUCCCCCACAUUGGAACUGAGACACGGUCCAAACUCCUACGGGAGGCAGCAGUGAGGAAUAUUGGUCAAUGGACGAGAGUCUGAACCAGCCAAGUAGCGUGAAGGAUGACUGCCCUAUGGGUUGUAAACUUCUUUUAUAUGGGAAUAAAGUAUUCCACGUGUGGGAUUAUGUAUGUACCAUAUGAAUAAGGAUCGGCAACUC
rnacentral:rRNA from 1 species